ensembl:snoRNA
CCUUGCUAUAAAGGAAGGCAGAAGGAAAGGGCUCUGGCCCCUUCAGUAUCAAGACUGGUACCAGGGGCUUCCCAUCUGCAUGUUCUAUCCUCAAACACCAGAAUACAU